UCUGAAAAGUUCUUAGGAGAGCAGGACCGGAAUCGAGGGGCCGAGAGCAAGCGAGCGGUAUAUGGGCUGCGUGGAGGUGAUGCAGUCAAUGAGAGCGCUGGACUUCAACACCAGAACUCAGGUUACCAGGUAACACACGCACACACACAUUCACUCUCGCUUGCACUUCCUCUCUUAUUAGCUCAAAUUUCCAGUGUAUGUAUAUCCACAGUGUCCCACAGGAGUGAUUUAAUCGUUCAUUCUCUCCACAUCCUAAUGCACAUGUACAUGAACAUACACUCUCUCGCACAGGUCCGGUUAAAAGCUCCUCCUCUGAUGAAAAAUUCAUGUUGAUCUCUCACAGAGUGUGACAGAAAGAGAACGCAGGAGAGAAAUGUUAAAAUAAUGAACGUACACAACCAUCUUCUCAUUCUCGGUUUCUUGCGUUAUCACACUUGUGAAUAAGUACUGCAGAACACUUGCCAUAUUAAACCACAUUAUAUGCAAAAUGCAACACAUUCUACACUGAAAUGCAGUGCUUUUGCAUGUAAGAAAGAGAAGGAGGAAGAAGGAAGGCGUUAUAAUGGCAUCAGCUCUGUUGUGUAACCAUAAAGUCUUGGAAUAGAAUCCCCUGGAACCCUCAUGGUUCUCUGUGUGUGUGUGUGUGUGUGUGUGUGUGUGUGUGUGUUAGUUAAUGGAUGCUACACACAUUUGCUUCUCAAUAUUGAUAGAAGCAGCUGCUUGAUAAAAUGUUUUCAUGCAUAAUCCUCAGUUUUGCUGGAAGAGGAAAUGCAUUCAAGGAAAAAUAUUAGUAGGAUGUGCGUGAGUUAUUAUAGUUUGGAAAAUUGACUAGUUUUUUAGUUUUUCUGUAUUUGAAAUGUAACUUUCACUUUUUUAAAUAAAAAAAUACACAUAAAAAUAUAAAUUUUUAUUGAUUGAUUGAUUGAUUUAUUUAUUAAAUAGGGAUGCCAUGUAAUGUAAUGUAAUGUAAAUGGAUGCCAUAAUAUUACAUAUUUGUGGUUGAAAAACCCAAACUAAAUAUUUCAUGUUAGCAUUCAUAUAGCAUUUUUCUUUAUAUGUUAGUAAAUAUUUGUAACUACAGUACUUUUUUUCACUCUUGUACAUUAUUAUUUUUUUUUAUUGUAUUUAUUUUUUUUUUGUAUUAAUUUUUGUUUUUGUUGUUGUAGUAUGGCAGGACGUGUAAUGACUGGAGUGUGUGUCUAAUGUAA
rnacentral:lncRNA from 1 species